CCACCUCCCUCUCUGUGUCUCUCUCCUUCACAUAACCCAACUCCCUAUUCUUCUUUCUCUACAACAGCACCCUUUUCUUCUUCUUAUUUAGCAUCAACCCCACAAAGGUCACACCUUUUCUCAUCCUCCACCAUGUCCAACACCAACACCACCACCACCACCACCCACCUCCGCCUUCACCACCAACCACUCUUAUCCUACGCCACCAAUGCCACCAUACCUGUAUCUGACUGCAAUAACCAAGAAGAUCAACAGUCACGUAAAACUUGCACAAAAAUACCAUAAGGGUCGUGGUGGAUGAGAAUGACAAUGACCCGGAUUCCCCAUUCGGUUUCUCUCACUUUUAAUCCUCUUGUUGAUAUCAGUGUAAGUGGCCAGCCCAGGAGCAAAAAAAAUGAAAUUAGUAAAGCAUCAUCCUAAGAUAGGAAAUUACCAAUUUCUUUGCACUGGUGAAAAAUCCACAGGACUCAUGGGUUGUUAUCACUCAUACAGCUUUUGAAGAACAGUCCCAAUUUGGUAAACAGCUAUAACUGCUCAUGUAAGAAGUUGUCCAUAGUUGGAGAUCAAGUUCUCUCUGUAUGGAAUUUACAGAAUCUUUCCUUGGUUUAUCUCUUUGAAAAUCUGAUACAGUUUUUUUAACAUUGGGUGAGUUACAUACCAGAAAAAAGAAAAAUAAAAAGAAAUCUUUCUUUUA